rnacentral:misc_RNA from 1 species
UAUUGAACGGACCCAUUGUCUGUUUUAUCUGUUUUCGCUGUUCUUCGUCUUUUGCCCUCGCUGCCUCUUUCUCUCUCUCACGGGGCUGGACGUACCCACGCAGGCACGCACACAUCACCAGCUCAGCCGCGUGCUCGAGCUCAUCUUGCUCUAUGCUGGAUGCUUGCUUCAUCUGUUCUUUGUUUCUCCAGCCUCCCUCCCUUCCUUCGUCCUUGAAAAUUUGAGCCAGUGCAUCGCCAACGCUUAGGGUCUCAACUCGCAGUGCUGGUGGCACUGCUGCGUGGUUUCUCUUUCCCUGUGUAGGUGCCCAAGCGGCCCCCGCCAAGAGGGAGGAGUUAGAGGCGGGAGACCGUGCACAGCUCCGGCUCUCUGUGGUAUUCAUUCUUUUCGUCUUGCAGCGCGCGCCUGUGUGCGCGUUCUCUGCGUAGUUCCUCCGGAAUGAACACGGUGGGGUGUGAAAUAGCCUCGCUGCUGGAGGUUCUCAGCAGCUCAGAGGAGGCAGCUAUAUGCCCACUGGCAAGCUUUGCACGCGAUAUUCGCUCGUUGGUGGACACUGGACAAGCCGAGGACCUCGGUAACGUUCUCGCGCAGCGCUCCGCAGAGCUGGUGAAGGAGGAGGAGAAGUUGAACGCAUCGAAGGAGAUGAUCUCCGUCACGUAUGACAAACUACGUGCGGAGAUGACUCGCGUUGAAGCACAAAUGCGGUCACAGGAGCGCCGCCUGCAGGAGGUGUCGCAGCAGAAGAAGCUGUGCAAACUGGCCCUCAACCUUUACUUGGCAGGCGAGGUGCCGAGCCUCGUAGACGCUGACGGCAUGGCCGUGCCCUGUGCAUCGCCAAGCUUGCCGGAUAUGAUGAAGCGCGGUGCCGAGGACGGGGGGGAGGAGCACCCCAACAAGGCAGCACCGGAGCCAGCACCGAUGAAGAACUCCCCCACCUCCCGCCCGCAUAGGCCAGUGCAGGCCGUCGAGAAUGACGUCAGUGGAUCGGCAAAGAACGGGGCGCUAACGGCCUCGCCCCGUUCUGGCCUCGCAGCGCUCACGUCGGACGGCCUUCUCGCACUGCUCCGCCUGCCAGACGUCAAGGAGAGCGUGCUGCUGAACGCGAUUGAGGGCUACACGCAGCAGCACCUCGAAAAAAAUAGCAACUGGAUGGCGGCGCAGAGCUACCCCGACAUCCUGGCCGUUAUGAUGGCGGUGCUGAGUCACCUCAGCGAACCGCGGCCCCCGGUGCAGCUCGCGGAGCUGCGUUUGCUCGGCUAUGCUCUGCAGUCUUCCCCGGCUCCUCGCCAGUCUGGCAACAACGACAAUCUCUUCAAAGUAUUAGAUACUCUCGUCCGGGAUGGCCGAGCCGUGCCCAUCCUCACGAAUCUGCUAAACAGCGUGAACGACGACGUGAAGUGCGAGGUGCUGGAGUUUCUGGCACCGCUCGUGUGUGAGACGCACGCUCUCAUCAACGCUGUCGCCUCCAACGCCCUCAGCGCCUUUGCGCGGAAAGAGUUUCUGGCCGCGAACGGACUGGAACCGCUGGUGAACAUUGUCAUUGUAAGCACUUCCGAGGCAGUGUUGGAGCGGGCGCUGAUCUUCCUGUGGGGGCUCCUCACCAAGGACGAGAAAGUGGAGCAUGGAGGCAGUGUGGACGCAUCUAUUCGCUCGCAGGCGCGGGAGCUGGGUGGGCUGCGAGCAGUGCUGGACCUUUUGUACACAGACUCUCUGCCUAUAUUAGAAAAUGUUUCGAUGGUGAUCGGCUACAUCACGCGAGAGGACGCCUCCAAAAAGGAAAUACGCGAGAUUGGCGGACUGGAGAAAAUCACGGCAACGCUGCGCCACCCGUCCGACUCGAUCAAGACCAAGAUGGCCGGUGCGGUGUGGAACUGCGCAUCGAACGCCGACAACCGCAAGCAUCUCCGUGAGCUCGGCGCUAUUCCGGCGCUUCUAGAGUUGCUUCGAAACCCAAGCUCGACCGCCAUAGACAACAACACAUACGAAUUCGUGCGAGAGAAUGCGGCAGGCGCGCUCUGGAACCUUAGCGUCGAGACGGAGAGCAAGGCGCAGAUUAUCGAGUACGGCGGCGUGCCAGUGUUGGUGGAGGUAAUGUCCUCGUCGAACAGCGUUGCGGUGGUCGAGAACGCAUCUGGUACGCUGUGGAACUGCUCCGCGACGGCAGAAGCCCGCCCCAUCCUCCGCAAGGCUGGUGGCAUACCCGUGCUCUUCUCUCUUCUCAAUCACCGCAAGCCGAUCGAGCCUUCGCGGUCCACCGCUGUCAAGUCCACAAUGCCGCUCAGCGAGAAAAUCAUCGACAAUGUCGCUGGAACGUUGCGCAACUGCGCCAUCAAUGACCAGAACAAGCCCGCCAUCCGCGAGUGCGGCGGAGUCGAGCUGCUUGUGGCGAAGGUAAAGGAGGCCUAUCUUAGCUCGAAGAAGAGGAACAGUGCCGACAAGACGCCGUUGCCGCUCUCUCCUUCGACGGUCGACAAGCUAGUAUCCACGCUGUGGAUUCUGACAACAUCGCCGGAGAUCAAGCACUCGGUGCGGUACGCCGGCGGUAUUGAGGCCUUCACGAGCAUUCUCGAGAUGUCGUCGCCUAGCAUCGCUGGGGGCAGCAAGGCAGCCGGGAAGGGCGCGAGUCUGUUUGCGCCACUGCGCAUGCCGACUGCCACGAGUAUGCUGGGUGUCGAGGCAUUCCAGGCGGCGUACAGUGCGCCAGCCAUCGGGAAGCUGCCGUUUGCGACGCCGUCCUUGUCGGUCCCGAUGAACGUGAAGGAGAAACUAGUAGGCGUGCUGCGCAACUGCAGCACCGUCGCCGAGAACAGGCCGGCUAUGAUACAGGCGGGGUGUGCCCGGUGUCUUGUGGCCGUUGUACUGGACUGCUACGCGCCCGCGACGGUUUUCCAAGCGAACGCCGUCACCCACAAGAACAGUCGCUUCCAGGAGCCGUCGACGCAGCUGAAGGAGACCGUGGCGUCAGCACUGUGGCACCUUUCUCGCGAUGACAAGGAGACGCCACGUGCCCAAGGAGGGCUGGAGCUCAUGUGCAUGCUACUUCUGUCUCCGCAGCAGCCCUCCGUAGUACUCGAGCAGGCAGCCGGCACCCUCUCGUCGCUCACCGUGAACAACAACGAGAACCGCGAUGCCGUCCGCACACACGGCGGCCUCUCCGCCCUCAUCCGCCUCGUCUCUGAGUAUCCGCAAGGCAACACAGGCAGCCGAGCUGGGAAGUCGGAUGUGUCGUCACACACAUACGCCGCCCUCAAUGCCCUUCUCACGAUUCGCAACUGCACCGUCAACAGCGACAAAAACGUACGCGCGUGCUACGAGGCGCUAACUGACAAGAAGUCUGCCUUCGGAUCUGCGCUCCUGUAUAUGAUCGAGCACGGAUCGGAGGAGUGCGCAAAGGAGGCGGCCCUGACGGCAAAGAACGUCUGCUUCAUACCUGCUGCUGCAAGCUACUUUGUGCAGAACAACGGCGUCGCACUCGUGACGUCGCUGUCGGAGCGCGCAUCGUCUGAUUCGGUUCGCCGUGCCGCUGCGUCGCUGCUGCAAGUCCUCUCCAAGGCAGAGAAGAAGUGAUGGGUGUCUGUGUCUCUCUCUGUGUGGGGGGGGGCCUGGGGUUGGGGCUGCCUCGCGGUCGCUUGUUUUGACCUUUUCUCAUAGACUGCACACCUGCGCAGUUUUCUUAGUCGUUGUUGCAACGUGCUGUGCGUCUCGCUCUUUGCUCAAACACACGUUGUGCGAGGGACGCUGACAGCACUCCGCUACUGUUGCAAGACAACGUAGAGGGGGAGGGCGGAUGUAGACAUGUUUGUGCACCGGGCGUAGACCACGCCGUUGGGAGUCUUUUGUUGAAAUGGUUUCCUGUUGAGCGCUGCCACUGCCGUGCCGCACAGCAUGCUUUUCUGAUGUCAGCCACGUACAGCCCUGUGCGAUAAGGGAGAAAGUGCGAGGUACGUGCGCACGGUUGUACGCUCAAGGUAUGAGUUUCAAGGAAUCGGACGGUAUAACCGGCUGUCUUGCUUGCAGGUAUUCAAGCCUUGCAGGUGCGCUUGUGAGUGCCUGUGUGUGUGUGGCGAGAUUGAUAUACCUGUCCCUGUUGCGGUGCUUUUCUCGGCUCUUUUUGAUUUUGUCUGCAGAACGGUGCGGCGGCGUGUCUUCUGCCUUGCUUCCCCACAAACAUCUAUCACACAUCAAGAAAAGAAAAGGUGCGCACCGCUGCGUUUUGUACCAGCAGACAU